UCGCUCCUCCUUCCCUGCUUGGAAUUAUCAUUUUCUUUGGUGACUUUUUUAUUUUCGUUUUUGCUUCUCCUUCUUCUCCAGUCGUGGCUUCUCUCUACCCCUCUCUUUCAAAGUGUAAUUUUUUUUCCCUUUUGAUUGUCCGAAAAGAUUAUGGAUUUGAAAAUCGACUUUGGUGUUUGGUAUUCUCAAAAUUCAGACUAAGCUGAGGAGACAGUACGAUGAUUGCCAGGUAGGACAUCGAAAAGGUCAAAUAGAAAUUCCAACAUUGAUAUAUCUCCUAGGGUAAGUUCAUAGUUUUCCUAUACGUGAUCUAAAUUAUUGGGAAACGUCAACUUACAUUAGUUUAAUUCAUUCCUUCUAAAUUCUUAUUUAAUUCCCAGAGAAAUUUUUAUUUUUUGUUAUUUCUUGAAGGAUAAGAGUCAGUGGUAAAAACGAUCUGCUAUAGGAAUUGUGCUUGUGAUUUUUUAAUUUUACAUUCAGUUUCUUGGUUAAUGAGUAUCCUCACCUGUUUUCUAUGUCAAUAAUGAUUGUCUUCUAAAGCAGCCCCUUCCCUAAUUAUAGAGUGAAGGAACCUUAGUUAAACUGAAUUGCUGGGAAAAUGGCCUAAAAUACAAAAUGUAUUGUAUGGAAAUGGAAUCUUCUUUAGAUCUCUCCAAUUUCGAUAUUCCAUCCGUUGCCAGGAAAAAAAAAGGAACUUACAAACACAAUUUUCUAUAUCUUACACACACAAUUUGCUAUAUAACGAAUUUCAUACCAAUUUUAUCCUCACAAUGUGACAUCGUUGUUGCAGUAAUGUUUUGCUACUUUGCUUUUUUUCAUCUUCUUUAUUUCAGUUUUUCGAUAUGUUGUACUAGUUGUAUCCAUGUGUGUUUCACAUUGCAGACUUUGGUCAGUAUUGCUCUUCUAUUGGCUUCCAUUUUUUUCGCAGGUUCUUCGUAUUAAGGAGAGGUCGAUUAUCCAAAGUUGAUCCUUCUCUAUUGGAUGGCAGUUUAUCAAAAUUUCUCUGAUUACUUUGAAGAUGUCAGUCUCUCUGUUCAGAAUAGUCAUGUUUUUUUCAUUCAUUGUUGAUGAUGAAUGUGAUCACUUCAUUCAUUUUAGGUCUUACCCAUCAUAUUAGGACGCACUACUGAAUUGAAAGGAAGUAUACUCUGAAACUGCAGCUUGGAUUUGAUUCUGUCCUAAUGUAUUAAAUGCCAUAAUAAAUUGGAUUAUCAAAGUCUAAAGCUCUCGUUAUGAGUUUAUAAGGUGCAACUUGCUACACAAGCUAUGGAGUGUAAAUCAUUGGGUUUUUGAAGAAGGCAAAGAUUGUUAGACACAUUUUGUAACAAAGGGGAUCAUAGUGCGUUUUACUUAUUGCAAUGUCAUGUGUAUGAUCUUACGAAAGAAGCUUUUUACUCAAGUUUUGUGUAGCGUCCUUGAAAAUUUUGAUUUGAGUUUAAUAUUUUAAGCGUGCUGACGAAUAUAGAAAAUAUUGUUUUUGCAUACCA